GUGAGUUAUUGCUUAGAAAUAUAUUUUGAGCCUUGUAUUGAUUUGAUAACCUACAAAUAUAUUGUUUUAUGCAUAUUAUAAAACUAAGAUGAGAAUAAUCCUCCAAUUUUAAAUCUGUGAAAAUAGUGUGCUCCAAUUAUAUGAAUUAAUCAUGAAUUCUUGAUCUUAGAAAUGGAUUACUGAGAAGAAUUAUUGUGGUGAGAAGAAUCAAAAAGGAAAAAAAAAUGGAAUAAACAAUUUUGUUCUUCAUGCAAGUUAGUUUUUAAUACACCUUUAUCUUUCUCUUUAAAAGUAUGAUCUUUAUAUUAUGUUUGCUAGUGUCAAUUUAGUGCCUGAGAUAUGAUAAAUGUUUAUUACAUUUGCUAGAAAUUCAGGAUUAAUCAUUUUAACAAAUUGACUUUUUAACUGUUUAUUUUGGUUUAUUUUUAACUGUUUACACCACUAGUCUGUUGAAAAUUUACUUGUUUACUAUUCUGCUGCGGCCUUAUUGAUGAUGUCGCUUCAUUGUUAUUCCAUCCUCCUUGUAUUUGCAGUUCCCUUGGUAACAUUGUUGUACCAUCUUUAAGCCAGGUAACAUUGACUCGUUUUGCUAUAAUUCUUUUCAGUGAUAUGCCUAUUUUUUUUUUUUUUUGUAAUUUUACAUCUGUUUGAAAAUUUGUCGUAUUUUAUUAUAAUAGGCUUUCAGGGAUUGUGCUUGGUCACCAAUUUUGGUAUCUCUUAAGGAAAUUUUGGAUGCUUAUGUGAGUUAUUGUUUACAAAUAUGUUUUUGAGCCUUAUAUUGAUUUGACAACCUAUAAAUAUAUUAUCUUAUGGAUACUAUUAAACUAAUCUGAUGGUGUGACUUCAAUUUUCAAAACCCUAUAACUUGAGGUGGGCAUACACCCUAAAUGGAACGGUCAAAUAACACUUUGAUUUUUUUGGUUCCCAGUGCAAGUUCAAUAACGUUUUAUUUUGAGUUGUCCCUCCUGGAAUUCUCGAAAUUUUCUUGAUUCUCUGUGCAAAUUCCAUGGGAGUAUAUUUUUUAGUUGUUCCAUCAUAAAUAAAGUGCACUUUGACUUUCUUUGUUCACAAUAGAAAAUUUUGUGUUGCCCCUUGUUAUUCGGACAGUUGCUGAAUUCUUUGUGUAUCUUUUGAUGGUUUGUUGGGCCAAAGUGGAAGGAUUCCGGAUUAUGAUUUGACUUCAUAUUAUUUAUUUUGUAAAUAUGAGUUGGUUGUGCAUUCUUUUGAACAAGAAGGAUGAUUAUAAACUGGUGUUGGAUUUCUUUAACUAGAUGUGCCUGCGAUGGGACCCUUGUUUGGAAGUCCGUUGUUCAGAUUGUUAUGGCUUCUAAGUACUUGAGAUUGGCUCAUAGGCUGAAUAUUUUGAGUUCUGGGAAAAUCCUGAUUUGGAUGUUAGUAACUCGUUUGCUCAAUUUACUGAGAGGUUGAUUUAUGGUUACAAGGACUGGGGUGCACAUCCCUUUGUGUUUGAUGUGUUCUUCCAAGUUCUUGUUGAAGCAGGGUGGCUUCUAUAGGCUCGGAAACUGUUUUGAUAAAUUAGUAAAUUAUGUGUUCUUGUUUCUGUAGAUUCUUGUGAUUUGUUUCUAGCUAGGCUAUCUAACAGUUUUGAUGGGAAAAAGGUGGCAAUUAAGGUGUUCAGAGAGUAUCCAGAAGUGGGUGUUUGUUGGAACACCAUGUCAUAUUAUAUUAUUCUCCAUUCACUUUGUCAUUUGGGUAGGUUAAAAGAAGUGCAUAAUAUGCUCUUACAAAUGGAGUUCAGGGGGAGCUUUCCUGAUGUUGUAAGUUAUAGUGUUAUAAUUAAUGGAUACUGUUAGGUUGAAUAGAUAGAAAAUGUCUUGAAGCUUCUGGAAGAGUUGUAGGGGAAGGUGUGUAAGCCAAAUCAAUACACAUACAAUAGCGUAAUUUCCCUUCUAUGUAAGACUUGUAGAAUAGUUGAGGCUUCACAAGUCCUGAGGGAGAUGAUAAACCAGAGGAUUUUUCCUGAUAAAGUGGUGUAUACAACUCUCAUCAGUGUGCUAAUGAAUGGGUUUUGCAUGUCAGGGAUGGUUGAAGAUGGUGAAAGGUAAAUUAAAUGGAUUUUGGAAAAAGGUAUAAGGCCAAAUGCCACAACAUUCAAUUUUCUCUUGGAGCAGUACUGUAUUAGAAAUAACAUGUGUGCUACAACAAAGAUUUAUAAGAGGAUGUAUGCUCAAGGAGUGAUACCUGACAAUAAUUCCUACAAUAUUUUGAUUAAAGGGCGUUGUAAAGGUAGAAAUAUGAAAGAAAUUUAGUCUAACUGCUGCUUCCUAUAAUGCUCUUGUAAAGGCUUUCUGUAAGAAAAAGAAAUUUGUGGAGGCUAAGAAGCUAUUUGAGAUGAGAACUCAAGGCUUUGAUGCAGAAAAAGAGAUAUAUGAUAUUUUUGUUGAUGCAAACUAUGAAGAAAGGAAAUGUGAAAAUACUCUUGAGCUUAUUGAUGAAGCAAUAGUGAAAUGUCUUCUUAAGAGAACUUAGUUGACUUUUGCGUAUACCACUUUAUGAUGGAAUUAUCAGGGCAGGAAUUGUUGUUUGUGUUGCUCCUUCUUUCUUGGUAGUUCCACUGAAAGUAACUUGCGUAUGAUGACAGUAGUUGUUCAUGAUUAAAGGAGGGACAUGGGACUUCCAGGUAUUUUCCAGUUCCAAAUUACUGUAACAGAACAUCUCAGUUGCACAAACAAACAUGAGGGAGUUUUAUAUGCUCAAAUUCCAUAGAAAAUUCAAGAUAUUUUAGGGUAAUAUUAGGAUUGUGCAUAGGGCUAAAUCCCUUUGGCCCAGUAAGUUUACGGAACUAAUUUAAUAGAGAUUCCUUCGAAUGUGAUAGAGAUCUUUUAGUUGAAGAAUGUAAAUAGAGAUUUUAAAUAGAAGUUCGGUGACUAUUAUUAUUGCUGUAAGAAUAGAUCAACCAGCAAGUGACUGGAAAUCGGUGGAGAGAUGCAAGUUAUGGUUUCACAAUUGAUAAGGUACAACUAUAUUUUAUUUAAUGAAUUGUUUAUAUAAUUAUUCGUUUUCAGAUUUCUUGAGACUGAAGUUAAGAGCUAUAUUUUAAAGAUUGGUUUUUGUUAAUUCCCUGAAAAUAAAUUCAAAGAAACUUUGACUAUAUCUUUUUCUGGUUAUUAUUUUUUUCAAGAAUUUAUUAACUGUUUCUUUUUCUCUUUACCCUCUUGGUUGUAUAAAUUUUACAUCUUGAUGGUUCUACUGUUCUCUCUCAUUGAAGACUAAACAAAGAGAAAUGGUAAGCGAGUAAAAGAAAAACCCAAGGUGCGUAGAAUAAUUAACAAACCAUAAUUUACAUUCAAAUCCAUAAACACCCUUUAUUUUUAUCUUUGCCUUACAAUUUAUCUCUUCUUUCACACUUCUAAUUUAUUUUUCUCUUCUCCUCGCCCCCUUUCCUAAUUUAUUUAUUUUACUUUAUGCAUUUUCUUGCAAAUCUUGAGUUUAUUACUUUAGGUUAUUGUAGUUUAGACUUCUAAUUUAUUUUCUUGCACUUCUAUUUCAUUAUAUUACGUGUCUAAACUUCUUGCAAUUUAGAAAUUCUAUUGGAUUUGGCUGCAGGUGCGGUGAGAAGCAAUGAAUAAAAAGGAAACAAAAGAUUGGGUUAUUGAGAAGAACCAUUGUGUUAGAAAGAAUAAAACAGGAAUGAGAAGUGGAAUAAACAUUUAUGUUCUUCAGUAUCAGUUUGAAGCAAUUAAUUGAGAGCAACUAGGAUCUUUCACCUGCACCAAUUGUACAUGACCGAGAAAGGGAAGUGCUUGAUGUCAUAUAUAUCACCUUUUGCAGUCUGUUUAACUAAGGGCAUAUACACCGAUCCACACUUUGUAAUCUAUAUUGUAGGAUUGGCUAGAAGCUAGAAUGACCAAAGCCACGCCAUAUGUAUCACCUUGUGCAGUCUAUUUAACUAAGGGCAUAUACACUGAUCCACACUUUGUAAUCUGUAUUGUAGGAUUGGCUAUCCAGUACAACAAAUUGAGCACGAGAAUUCUUACACAAGAAGUGGGAACGUCGAUCUUUCUGCAGAAAGGAUGACCAUGACCGUAGCAUAGGAUUGAUUGUUUUGUAAUUGUUUUUGAUUCAAUUUGAUUUGUAAUAGGCUUGUAUUAGCCUUGUGUUUUUCUGUUUGGUUUUAUUUUAAUUUGUAAAAGGCCAUUAAAAGUCCAAGUGGUUGGUGCUCUUUAUUGACAACUUUUCUUGAUUGUUUGAUUUAAGAAUUUUAUUCCUCAAAU
rnacentral:sRNA from 1 species